rnacentral:rRNA from 1 species
CCUACGGGAGGCAGCAGUGGGGAAUUUUGGACAAUGGGCGCAAGCCUGAUCCAGCAAUGCCGCGUGCAGGAUGAAGGCCUUCGGGUUGUAAACUGCUUUUGUACGGAACGAAAAAGUCUGCCCUAAUACGGUGGGCCCAUGACGGUACCGUAAGAAUAAGCACCGGCUAACUACGUGCCAGCAGCCGCGGUAAUACGUAGGGUGCGAGCGUUAAUCGGAAUUACUGGGCGUAAAGCGUGCGCAGGCGGUUAUAUAAGACAGAUGUGAAAUCCCCGGGCUCAACCUGGGACCUGCAUUUGUGACUGUAUAGCUAGAGUACGGUAGAGGGGGAUGGAAUUCCGCGUGUAGCAGUGAAAUGCGUAGAUAUGCGGAGGAACACCGAUGGCGAAGGCAAUCCCCUGGACCUGUACUGACGCUCAUGCACGAAAGCGUGGGGAGCAAACAGGAUUAGAUACCCUGGUAGUCCACGCCCUAAACGAUGUCAACUGGUUNUUGGGUCUUCACUGACUCAGUAACGAAGCUAACGCGUGAAGUUGACCGCCUGGGGAUACGGCCGCAAGGUUGAAACUUAAAUGAAUUGACCGGNNGAGAGNGCGAGACGACGACGAGGGAGGAGG